UAUCUCCCCUCUUCUGCAGUUGCGCUCGCCGGGGCUAUCACUGCCGCCGCCGCUGCCUCUGCCCCCAAUCCCGCCUCCAGUCCAGAGGGUGGCGCGCAGCGCUGAGGCUCUCAGCCAACCGAGCUCCCGACGCGACAGCCCGUUCCGCGCGCGGCUGGGCGGCGACCACAAGGCACGGGGAUGGGUAUCUCGCUCAUUCAGUUCUUUCCCUUACGACGCUUUACCACUCCAAGGCCCUGCUCGAUCCCCCACCAUCGUCGCAGCUCCUGAAUGUUUCUGAUGGUGUGUGCUGUUGAUUUCUACAUACUGCCAGAGUGCCUGUUUCUUCUACUGUAUUCGAUUCGUUUUCUACCCUCUCAAUGUGACUUUUCUACUCCCAUUUCUGUUCUCUACUAGGUGUACCAGUUGAUUCCAGGAGUCCAGCAAUGUGAUGCACCGCUCCCUGAAGGUUGCAUAGUUGCAUCGCACCACGCGGUGGCAUACUUGCCUGUCGAUUAUGCAGGUAUGAUAGUUCAUUCCAGUGCCAACGACAAAAGGGUAUGACAAGAAAAAUAUGAUUAUUGGAAUUCCCAUGUGCACUAGUUACAAUAAAUUAAUAAUUCUUCGUGGAUGUGAUUUAUUUAUAAUAAUCAGUUUUUCAUGUGAAAACUUAGUAACCGUUCUACAGACUGGGUGCCAUUUUACAAACUUAAUUGAAAAUUUACUAUGCACGGAUUAGCCAUUUGACCAAGAUCAAUAGGGCUACUGCAGAUCUUUGAGCUUCAAGCAUCAACCCGCCUUGGCUCCAUAGUUUAUGAAACUAAACUUGAGCCACUUGAUCACCUAUAUUUGUUACGCCUCCCCUGUGGGUGACUUGAGAACCAAAACAAGUCAAUGCUAUUGCCUUGUUAUUCUGCGGGCAGUCCCUUAGCUCAUCACUAUUCGUGUUCGGACGAGGCAUGGAUAUUGUUGUGGCUUGGUUCUCUAUAUCAUUGCAACCUCCAUUUUCUUCAUUGUUUUGAUCUCCGUCUUGAAUGUGCCCAUUUUCUUCUUGUGGCCCAUGUCCUUGUUCAUUCUGAUAAUCUGUGUUGAUCCGUUGACCUUUUUUGUACUGGUUCCUCAGCAAGACUAUAGAAAGGGAGCAGGUUGUCACAAGUCCAGUUAGGAGGAAUAAUCCCCCAAAGUUGCAAAAAGUGAUAGCACCUGAAUCAGCAACUUCUUCCUCAUUUUGGCAACUGUUUUGAUCAAUCCAUUUCUUCUCGAUUUGAAUGAUGCUAUCUCCUUCUGUUAUGUUGAGGAUUGCCCUUGAUAUUUCAGUAAGUAGCGGAGAUCGCUUAGGAAGUGCCUAAUUCCCGAAGAGGAAGUCUUAUUAACUUUACUAUACUAAUAUUUAAAGAAUUCUUCAGUAUAUCUGACUCAGUACUAGCCAUGAAAAAUAUAAUUUCUGAAUCUCAUCUUUAUUUUGAUCUAACCUUUUCAGCUUUAGUGAUGCAAUGGAAUGUGGAAUUUAAUGCAGCACAUGAUUAUAUUAUUUGGAUGUUAGAUUUUCCAUCAUAAUUUAGUAGCAAACUAGCAAUUUUUAAUAUAGUUAGGAAAGAUUGAAAUAAUUGGCUAGCAAAGAGUAGUUGAACUUACAAAUGCAAAGCCAGCACUUUUGUAUAUAGGUCCAACCAUUGUGUAACCGUUGCAG
rnacentral:lncRNA from 1 species